rnacentral:rRNA from 1 species
GUACGGGUUGUGAGAGCAAGAGCCCGGAGAUGGAUUCUGAGACACGAAUCCAGGCCCUACGGGGUGCAGCAGGCGCGAAAACUUUACAAUGCCGGCAACGGCGAUAAGGGGACCUCGAGUGCCAGGUUACAAAUCUGGCUGUCGUGAUGCCUAAAAAGCAUUGCAUAGCAAGGGCCGGGCAAGACCGGUGCCAGCCGCCGCGGUAACACCGGCGGCUCGAGUGGUAACCGUUAUUAUUGGGUCUAAAGGGUCUGUAGCCGGCCGGAUAAGUCUCUUGGGAAAUCCAGCAGCUCAACUGUUGGGCUUUCAGGAGAUACUGUCUGGCUCGAGGCCGGGAGAGGUGAGAGGUACUUCAGGGGUAGGGGUGAAAUCUUGUAAUCCUUGAAGGACCACCAGUGGCGAAGGCGUCUCACCAGAACGGACCUGACGGCAAGGGACGAAAGCUAGGGGCACGAACCGGAUUAGAUACCCGGGUAGUCCUAGCCGUAAACGAUACUCGCUAGGUGUCGGCCACGGUGCGACCGUUGUCGGUGCCGUAGGGAAGCCGUGAAGCGAGC